GAAGUACUCCCUCCGUCCAAAAAUACUUGUCAUAAAAAUGGACAAAAAGGGAUGUAUCUAAAACUAAAAUAUAUCUAGAUACAUCCCCUUUUAUUCAUUUUGACGACAAGUAUUUUCGGACGGAGGGAGUAGUAC
rnacentral:pre_miRNA from 1 species